rnacentral:rRNA from 1 species
AAAUUGAAGAGUUUGAUCAUUGCUCAGAUUGAACGCUGGCGGCAGGCCUAACACAUGCAAGUCGAACGGUAACAGGAAGAAGCUUGCUUCUUUGCUGACGAGUGGCGGACGUGUGAGUAAUGUCUGGGAAACUGCCUGAUGGAGGGGGAUAACUACUGGAAACGGUAGCUAAUACCGCAUAACGUCGCAAGACCAAAGAGGGGGACCUUCGGGCCUCUUGCCAUCGGAUGUGCCCAGAUGGGAUUAGCUAGU